rnacentral:lncRNA from 1 species
GCCUAGACCUUCAUUUUAGAAUUAUCCUGACCUAUCUUGCUUAGGAUUCUAGGAUUCAUUUCUUAGAUCUUUAGUGGCCCUAGCAAUCUACAUUUUGAUAGAUAUAGCUCUUAUACAUCUUAUAUAUUUUCAUGAUUUUAUCAUUUGUUGUGAUCAAGUUUUGCUAAUUAAUGAAAUAUAACUUUUUCUUAAAAUACAAUAUAUCUAAUGCCCUUACUUAUAUUUAGUUACUUAAUUGAACAAUUGCUUUGUUUGCA